rnacentral:tRNA from 1 species
GUGAAUAUAGUUUAAUAAAAAUCCUAGCCUGUGAUUCUAGGGACGAGGACUAAUCACCCUCUAUUCACC